AGUUUAAUGGCCAAGAAGUUGUCGUAUACUCCAUGGACAUCCAGUGAAGGCAGGAUGACGUAGAAUAAACAUUUCCCACUUUAGUCUUGAGCUUUUCCCUUGGACAAAGUGCCACCAUGGAAUUCGAACUCCACAGGUCCCCACAAGCAGGCAUCCAUCACUGUUAAACAGUGGCACGAAGAAUCUGGAAGCCCAGAGAUCGAAUCAUGGCCGUCGAUAAUCUGGCAGCUGUGACCUGGACCUGCACAAUACGACGCAGACCAUCGGUUGGCCGGUGGCUUUCCAGGCCCGUGCUGUUUUGCCACACCUCCCUGCUUAUUUAUAACUACUCUACCGCCCUUUUCUUCCCACUCACUGCUCACUAAAGUUCCGGGUACUCUGUCUUUUGACGGACAAUUCAAGUGCAGGGGCAAGCCCAAGAGAGUCCACUACAGUUCCAUAGGCUAUUCUCUGUCCCAUAAGCUAUUCUUGGUUUUGUGGACGGGGCAAGCUCAAGAGAGUCCACCACAGUCUCGGAUACUCUGUUUUUUGAUGGGCAAUCCAAGUGUAGUGGCAAGCCCAAGAGAGUCCACUACAGUUUCAUAGGCUAUUCUCUGUCUCAUAGGUUUUUCUUGAUCUCAUGGACGUUAAAAUUCGUUUCUUUCCUUCUCUCAGUUUCAGAUACUUUAUUUUUUGACGGGCAAUCCAAGUACAGGGGCAAGCCCAAGAGAGUCCACCACAGUUCCGGGUACUCUGUUCCGGGUACUCUGUCUUUUGACGGGCAAUCGAAGUGCAGGGGCAAGCUCAAGAGAGUCCACUACACUUCCGGGUACUCUGUCUUUUGACGGGCAAUCGAAGUGCAGGGGAAAGCUCAAGAGAGUCCACUACACUUCCGGGUACUCUGUCUUUUGACGGGUAAUCGAAGUGCAGGGGCAAGAGAGAAAGAGAUAGAGAUUCGAAUGGUCAUGGCGCCUGUGAGAUCCUCGUCUGUUUCAUCCCCUCCAUAUCAGUUGCUCUUCAUUCUAGUGAUCGUGGUGCUUUUUCUAACUGGGUCAUGGUACAUGAGUUAUGAAUCUGUGUUCGAGGAGGUUAUGGAGCAGGUGAAGCUUGUUUUAAUGUUGUCUCCUCUGCUGCUUCUGAUAAUGGUGCACUGGCUUUCUGUCGUUGAAAAGCCCUACAUUCCAUUGCCUCCCUCAGAGCCCAAUGCCAUACACAGGGCCGGGAGCUCACCUUGGGGUAUGGGAUUGCUUGUUCUCCUGCUUCUGCUUAUGAUUUCUUACCAGUCCACCUUCCAUGAAUACUGGUUUCCAUUGUGGAGCUGAGCUUACAUCGUUGCACUCUAAAGAUGAGACUUUUUCUUUCUUUCUGUAAAUUCUUCAUUUGUAUGAAAUUUUUGGACUCUUUUUUGUUGGA